ensembl:lncRNA
GUCCGAGGGGGGGGGGGGUCUGCGACGCCCCGACGGUGACAACGUGAGUGAGCGUGUGUCACUAACGAGCUGCGUGUGUGUGUGUGUGUGUGUGAUGUCUAACACUCCGCCUCACUACAGCAUCACAUGCCCCUUACGGAACUGAUAACACAGGAUAUAUUGUGUUAUAAUACACACAAUUACACAAUAGAAUGACUACAGCUCACACGUGUAUGUGUGUGUGUGUGUAUGCGUGUACGUGUGCAUGUAUUUCUUCGAGCCGCUGAUGGAAACGCACGCCUCAGAGUCUGCGUCAGGCAGCUCCAAGAGGACGGAGCGGCCUGAGGCUAACGUGACGCGCCGCAGCAACAGCGCCUAACAGGAACAGAUCGCUCCCAACGGCAGGCCGCUGUCUCGCGGACGGAGCAUCAAUCCAGCGGGCAUCAGACCGAUGCUGCAUUAUGAACACCAUAACAGGAUGCAAGGAGUGAAGGCGUGACGGAGUGAAGGAGUGACGGCGUGACGGCGUGACGGCGUGACGGAGUGAAGGAGUGAAGGAGUGACGGAGUGACGGAGGACGGAGAGCUGGGAGUGGAGCUGGUUCCCUCACUCUGUGGUGGAGGAGAUUCAAGCCAUCGCGGUGAACGCAUGAAAGUAAACCAUUUGAUUAUUCAUGACCAUUCCUAAAUUAUUUACACGUUUAUCUUUGCUCGGUCUAACACAGGGCUAUGAGGGCUCAUGGUCUAACCCAGGGCUAUGAGGGCUCAUGGUCUAACCCAGGGCUAUGAGGACUCAUGGUCUAACCCAGGGCUAUGAGGGCUCAUGGUCUAACCCAGGGCUAUGAGGG